rnacentral:rRNA from 1 species
UACGGGGGGAGCAAGCGUUGUUCGGAUUUACUGGGCGUAAAGGGCGCGUAGGCGGCCACCGCAAGUCAAUCGUGAAAUCUCCGGGCUUAACUCGGAACGGUCAGCUGAUACUGCUUUGCUAGAGUGCAGAAGGGGCAAUCGGAAUUCUUGGUGUAGCGGUGAAAUGCGUAGAUAUCAAGAGGAACACCUGAGGUGAAGACGGGUUGCUGGGCUGACACUGACGCUGAGGCGCGAAAGCUAGGGUAGCAAACGGG